rnacentral:rRNA from 1 species
AAGAGACAGCAGCAGCCGCGGUAAAACGGAGGAUCCAAGCGUUAUCCGGAAUCAUUGGGUUUAAAGGGUCCGUAGGCGGUCUUGUAAGUCAGUGGUGAAAGCCCAUCGCUCAACGGUGGAACGGCCAUUGAUACUGCAGGACUUGAAUUAUUGGGAAGUAACUAGAAUAUGUAGUGUAGCGGUGAAAUGCUUAGAGAUUACAUGGAAUACCAAUUGCGAAGGCAGGUUACUACCAAUUGAUUGACGCUGAUGGACGAAAGCGUGGGUAGCGAACAGGAUUAGAUACCCGAGUAGUCCCUGUCUCUUAUAC